rnacentral:lncRNA from 1 species
AAAUGCUAGGCAAGUGCUCUACCAUCAAGCCACAAACCAAGCCCUAUAUUAGACCUUUACAGGUAGUAGAACCUGAGCUUUACUUUAAUACUAAAUAUUUUGACUACUAUAAGGUCAAAAUAUACAGACUAUCUAGAGGUUAGAUGGAACACUAUUUUGUGGCCCACAUAUUUCUUUUUGAGUUAAAUGGGUGCCUCUGUACCAUUAUUAUAUUGCUUGAAUUGUGUUCUGUUUUCUAAACUGCUUACCUAUUGUUAUUUUAUGUACUGAUCAAAGUACCUAUGUGUGUAUUGGGUUUUUCACUUGGUUAGCUAAAGAAGAUGUAAAAGUAUAAUCUAAAC